rnacentral:rRNA from 1 species
UACAGAGGUCCCAAGCGUUGUUCGGAUUCACUGGGCGUAAAGGGUGCGUAGGUGGUGAGGUAAGUCGGAUGUGAAAUCUCGGAGCUUAACUCCGAAAUGGCAUUGGAAACUACCUUGCUCGAGGGUUGGAGGGGGGACUGGAAUACUUGGUGUAGCAGUGAAAUGCGUAGAUAUCAAGAGGAACACCAGUGGCGAAGGCGGAUCGCUGGGCCAACACUGACGCUGAGACGCGAAAGCUAGGGGAGCAAACGGG